rnacentral:rRNA from 1 species
UACGGGGGGGCCAAGCGUUGUUCGGAAUUACUGGGCGUAAAGGGCUCGUAGGCGGCCAACUAAGUCAGACGUGAAAUCCCCAGGCUUAACCUGGGAACUGCGUCUGAUACUGGAUGGCUUGAAUCCGGGAGAGGGAUGCAGAAUUCCAGGUGUAGCGGUGAAAUGCGUAGAUAUCUGGAGGAAUACCGGUGGCGAAGGCGGCAUCCUGGACCGGCAUUGACGCUGAGUGAGCGAAAGCCAGGGGAGCAAACGGG